rnacentral:tRNA from 1 species
GACUCUAGCCACUGGCCCUAUGGUCUAGUGGUUAAGAUCCUGGUUUCCAUCCAGGCAAUCUGGGUUCAAUUCCCAGUC